UUGGACCUGAUAUCAAACAAGACUACCCGCUGAACUUAAGCAUAUCAUUAAGCGGAGGAAAAGAAACUAACAAGGAUUCCCCCAGUAACGGCGAGUGAAGCGGAAGAGCUCAGCCUAAUUUCAUCUGUUUGCAUACCUAAAAAAACCGGUUGGUAAUAACCCGACCUCCCCC
rnacentral:rRNA from 1 species